ACCAUUUAUGGCCUUAUACAUCAGUAGCAAUACUUUGUAAUCAGUUCGUAACUUAAUAGGUUACCAGCGUAGAGAUGAUAAAAUUGGUGUUAUAUGAUCAUAUGUGCUUGACCUGGUAAGAACUCUAUUAACUGUAGCUUGUUUACUGAGGAUGCAGGACAACCAGCUAGUAAUGCAUUACAGAAAUCCAGUCUAGAGGUCAUGAAUGCAUUAACUAGCUUUUCUGCAUCAGAAACAGAUUACAUGUUCCGUAGCUUAGCGAUGUUUCUGAGGUGGAAGAAGGCUGUUUUUGUAACAUUUGACAAAUUAACGAAGUUGCAUUUUAUUUAAGAUUUAAUUGCAUUUUUGACUUUAUGGUUAAAACACAUUUUUAACCAGUUGAGAAACACACGCAUAAUUUUCAGAUAAGAUGAAGCAAUUAUCAAACUGAAUUUCUGCUGAAUGGGAGGUUCCAGCGGAUAUUCAGUGUGCUGAUUUCUUUAUCUUAUCUUUGCAGCUACCACCUCCCAUUACAGUCCUAUAAAUCUCCACAUCGCCAAGGUUCACAAAAGCACAAGACUGACGGCAGAUACACCAGCGAGGAGCACGAAAUCAAAGAGAUCACGAGUACAAGAAAAGAAAUGUACAAUCAAGGACCAGCAAUCGGAAGAAUAAACUUCUCAUUCAGUGACCCAGAAGAGCAGAAUCCAUCAGCUAAGCCCAGGAUGAAUCAGCCUUUGUCACCACCAGGGUCCUAUCCCAACUCUUCCAGCUAUCCCCUCCAGCCGUACGGAGCUCCAGUCAGCCCUCAGGGUCCAUAUACCCAACAGCAGUCAUAUCCAGCCAUGUCUGCAUAUCCAGAAAGGCAGAAUGCAGGUCACACUGGGGUCACCGUUCAGCCCACCGUGAUCAUGUCCUCCACGCCAGCGCCCGUUCAUAUGUCAGAGUACUUGUGCUACUCCAUCUUUAACUUGAUCUUCUGCUUUUUCCCUCUGGGACUCGCUGCUGUCAUCUACUCUGCCUCUACACGAGAUGCUAACCUGGCAGGACGGCAAGAUUUAGCGAUCAGGUCCUCCAGAACGGCAUUGAUCCUGAACAAUGUCGCCCUCGGUUUCGGCCUUGCAAUCUACACAGUGGUCACCAUCCUCUUACUGCGGGUGUACGGAGUAAUUAAAUGAAUAGAUGCUGUAUUCUGCUUUUCAAAUGCAGCUACUUGUGAUUUUGCAGGCCCUUUUUCAAGACACUUUGAGGAAAUAAUCUAAUGUAUAAUCUAAUGUUUGUUUUAUUUCUUUUUUACUUAAUUCUGUUGGAUUGAGAACGGUAUGUAAAUUAUCUGUAACUAAAUUACACAUCAAAAUAAAGCCUUUAAAUGAAGAAAAAAGGA